rnacentral:rRNA from 1 species
UCGGGAAUUUUGGGCAAUGGGGGAAACCCUGACCCAGCAACGCCGCGUGAAGGAUGAAGUAUUUCGGUAUGUAAACUUCGAAAGAAUAGGAAGAAUAAAUGACGGUACUAUUUAUAAGGUCCGGCUAACUACGUGCCAGCAGCCGCGGUAAUACGGGGGGUGCAAGCGUUAAUCGGAAUUAUUGGGCGUAAAGGGUGCGUAGGUUGUUUGAUAAGAUAUAUGUGAAAUACCUGGGCUCAACCUGGGAAGGUCAUAUAAGACUGUCAGACUCGAGUAUGGGAGAGGGUAGAGGAAUUUCCGGUGUAGCGGUGAAAUGCGUAGAUAUCGGAAGGAACAUCGGUGGCGAAGGCGUCUACCUGGCCUAAUACUGACACUGAGGCACGAAAGCGUGGGGAGCAAACAGGAUUAGAUACCCAAGUAGUCCCUGAGCGGGCUGGCAAGGCGCAU